GACAGCUGCGGCUUCUCCUGAAGGACGCGGGCGCGGGUUCACCGUCAGACUCUGGUUGACCGGUCCGCUGACGCCCUGGAAAAGCUGAGACCCGAGAACCUGUUGUUCUCACUUGUCUGUUUUUCUGUAGACGUCGUUUCUACGUAUACUGUUAAAUCCGCAUGUUAGUCUGUGUGGUGACCACUGUGUGGUUAUAGAUUGCCAAAUGUAUUUAGUUCUGCGAAGAACUUUUACUGGGGAAAGGUUCUCAAAGCAGUUUGAGUCUCGAUUGUAAACUGAUGAGGUGGUCAUGUUUUUAUGCUUGGAAUUUCUCAGUGUUUUACAUUUUUCUGUUUCUGGGCAUUUGACUAUCUCUUAUGUGACCUAAUCACUGCUGGAAAGUCUGGGCCGAGGAAGACACCGUGUCGGUUGUCAAAGAGCAGAGUUGCUGAAGGAGUUGCGCCUGCUUCGCUGGAAAGUGCCACCAGAAAAGGGAUGGGAAGUGGUGGUGACAAGUUCAGAACUUGUCAUUUCUCUGUGACCCCAACAAGGCUUCCCUCUGAAAUUAAGUCGCAGUAUUUGGCGCAUGUAACGUGAACUCUUGGGAGGGCUUGGACAACCCAGCAGAGUCUGAUUUGUGGUUGUGUUCUUACAUUUUGUUUGUGGUCUGGCUUAAGGUUCAGCUUCACGGACAGCUCUCGGUAGUGCAUUUCCGGCUCUCUGAGGCCUGGAAAGAGGGAUGUGCCUUAAUGGUCCCAGGAAGGAGCUGUGGACUUAAACUGAACAGGGCCAGCACCGUUUCGUGGGCUGUUAAUUGUCUGGUUACGCUCAUUUGAGUAGCACACACACCCCCACCCCCCGUCCAUUUGAGGUUAAAACAACGUAUGUAAUAAGCAUUUGUAAGUUUGCCCAAAUAAACCAAAGCCCUGCAACUUUGCCAGGAAACAGAUAAUAAAAAACGUUUCUCAGGGU